rfam:Crinalium epipsammum PCC 9333, complete genome.
AGGAGCCGUGUGAGGUGAAAGUCUCAAGCACGGUUUUGGAGACGAGCGGUUCUCGUGAGGGAAUCGCUUAGUUUAAC